GACGAACGCUGGCGGCGUGCUUAACACAUGCAAGUCGAACGGAAAGGCCCUGCUUUUGUGGGGUGCUCGAGUGGCGAACGGGUGAGUAACACGUGAGUAACCUGCCCUUGACUUUGGGAUAACUUCAGGAAACUGGUGCUAAUACCGGAUAGGAGCUCCUGCUGCAUGGUGGGGGUUGGAAAGUUUCGGCGGUUGGGGAUGGACUCGCGGCUUAUCAGCUUGUUGGUGGGGUAGUGGCUUACCAAGGCUUUGACGGGUAGCCGGCCUGAGAGGGUGACCGGCCACAUUGGGACUGAGAUACGGCCCAGACUCAUACGGGAGGCAGCAGUGGGGAAUAUUGCACAAUGGGCGGAAGCCUGAUGCAGCAACGCCGCGUGCGGGAUGACGGCCUUCGGGUUGUAAACCGCUUUCGCCUGUGACGAAGCGUGAGUGACGGUAAUGGGUAAAGAAGCACCGGCUAACUACGUG
rnacentral:rRNA from 1 species